CCUACGGGUGGCAGCAGUGGGGAAUAUUGGACAAUGGGGGGAACCCUGAUCCAGCCAUGCCGCGUGUGUGAAGAAGGCCCUCGGGUUGUAAAGCACUUUCAGUGAGGAAGAACGCCUGGUGGUUAAUACCCAUCAGGAAAGACAUCACUCACAGAAGAAGCACCGGCUAACUCCGUGCCAGCAGCCGCGGUAAUACGGAGGGUGCGAGCGUUAAUCGGAAUUACUGGGCGUAAAGCGCGCGUAGGUGGCUUGAUAAGCCGGUUGGUGAAAGCCCCGGGCUCAACCUGGGAACGGCAUCCGGAACUGUCAAGCUAGAGUGCAGGAGAGGAAGGUAGAAUUCCCGGUGUAGCGGUGAAAUGCGUAGAGAUCGGGAGGAAUACCAGUGGCGAAGGCGGCCUUCUGGACUGACACUGACACUGAGGUGCGAAAGCGUGGGUAGCAAACAGGAUUAGAUACCCCGGUAGUC
rnacentral:rRNA from 1 species